CACUUUUUACCUUUCUUUAUAUGCAAGAAUUCUUUUUAUUGGCAAUUGCAUAUAUUUUGUCACCAGUGUUAUCAUUGUUUCUUCUUUCAUUCCUAUUUCCCCGGCCAACAACAUAUGAUUGCCUAAUUACAUUUUUUUUUUCAUCCAUGAUUUCCUAACUACAUAUUGUUAUUGGAUCAAAUCAUUAGGCAGUUUGAUUCACAUAUGAUAUUUGCUUUGAGUUCAGAUCUUGCAGUAUUAGUCAUGAGUCAUGGAUAAUUAUAUAUCUAAAUUCAUAUGUGUUAUUUGAAUACACAAUUUUUUACAUUAUAUCUCGACACCAUUUACUAUUAACGUGAUG
rnacentral:lncRNA from 1 species